CAGUCGCCGCGGUAAUACAGAGGGUGCAAGCGUUAAUCGGAAUUACUGGGCGUAAAGCGCGCGUAGGUGGUUUGUUAAGUUGAAUGUGAAAUCCCCGGGCUCAACCUGGGAACUGCAUCCAAAACUGGCAAGCUAGAGUAGGGCAGAGGGUGGUGGAAUUUCCUGUGUAGCGGUGAAAUGCGUAGAUAUAGGAAGGAACACCAGUGGCGAAGGCGACCACCUGGGCUCAUACUGACACUGAGGUGCGAAAGCGUGGGGAGCAAACAGGAUUAGAUACCCGCGUAGUCCCUGUCUCUUAUAC
rnacentral:rRNA from 1 species